GAUGAAGAACGUAGUGAAAUGCGAUACUUGGUGUGAAUUGCAGAAUCCCGUGAACCAUCGAGUCUUUGAACGCAAGUUGCGCCCGAAGCCAUUUGGUUGAGGGCACGUCUGCCUGGGCGUCACAUAUCGUUGCCCGAUGCCUAUUGCACUGUGAUAGGAAAUUCUAGGGCGAAAGAUGGCUUCCCGUGAGCGUUGUUGCCUCGCGGUUGGUUGAAAAUUGAGUCCUUGGUAGGGUGUGCCAUGAUAGAUGGUGGUCGAGUUUGCACGAGACCGAUCAUGUGUGCGCUCCCCAAAAUAUGGACUCUUUGACCCCACCCGCGUCUUUGGACGCUCAUGACGAGACCUCAGGUCAGGCGGGGCUACCCGCUGAGUUUAAGCAUAUCAAUAAGCGGAGGA
rnacentral:misc_RNA from 1 species